UACGUAGGGGGCAAGCGUUGUCCGGAAUCAUUGGGCGUAAAGAGCGUGUAGGCGGCCCGGUAAGUCCGCUGUGAAAGUCGGGGGCUCAACCCUCGAAUGCCGGUGGAUACUGUCGGGCUAGAGUGCGGAAGAGGCGAGUGGAAUUCCUGGUGUAGCGGUGAAAUGCGCAGAUAUCAGGAGGAACACCUAGUGGCGAAGGCAGCUCGCUGGACGUUACUGACGCUGAGAACGCGAAAGCGUGGGGAGCAAACAGG
rnacentral:rRNA from 1 species